UACAGAGGUCCCAAGCGUUGUUCGGAUUCACUGGGCGUAAAGGGUGCGUAGGUGGCCAGGUAAGUUCGGUGUGAAAGCUCGGAGCUUAACUCCGAAAUGUCAUUGAAUACUAUCUGGCUUGAGGGUCGGAGGGGAGACUGGAAUUCUCGGUGUAGCAGUGAAAUGCGUAGAUAUCGAGAGGAACACCAGUGGCGAAGGCGAGUCUCUGGACGACUCCUGACACUGAGGCACGAAAGCUAGGGGAG
rnacentral:rRNA from 1 species